rnacentral:rRNA from 1 species
AUGGAGCCGAAUCUGGACAUGGCGGCCAUGAGAAAGAAGCUAGAGGAUGAGUUGCUCGGCACCUGGCUGUGGGACAGGGAGCUGUACUCCAUCCUGCAGGAACAGCAAGAGCUUGACGACGAAGGUGAUUACGAGUACUACGAACCAGACGAAUCAGACCAAGAAGAAGAGGAGCUCCACUAUGGUGGUUCUUGGGGAUACGCGUAUACGUUCUACUACGAGGACGUGAACCCUUAUUACGUCGCCGACAUGGAAGAGAGGUGGAAGAAUCAGAUCCAGUUUCCUUCGACAAUGUCCAGCGCCAAGAGAUCAAGGGGGGUCUGGGAGGGGUCUCUUCAGGUCAAUGGCCCGUGUCAGCUCGAUCCAAGCCUGUUAUCUGCGUAA